rnacentral:lncRNA from 1 species
UAAACGACUAGUCUCCAACUGUGAUUCCCUCCAGUCUUCCCCACCGUACGCUACCUUCCCCCCCUAAAUUGAUACCAAUGGAGGGGGCUCGUACUGGCCGACUGAACAACGGAUGGAAUGCGUCUCAGAAAGAGAAGUAGAAGGUUCAGUAGAGAAGUCCAUGUCUGCUUCCUUCCCCUAUUCGAGUGCUCGACCACCUGCUAAUGGCCGAUCACGUACUUUUUUCACCCGCUGAUUAUGUUGUGAUGGCAACCGAUUCACCCCUGCAAUAGGGUAGCGAGCAUGGCUUUUUCGAUCGUGGGUCGGCCUGAGCAGUGGGAGAAGUGGGUAGAGGAAUAGUCGUGAUGGAUGGCUUUCAAGCCCGGAAAGUGGUUCUUGGUUUCGGCACUAGGGGUGCCGUGUAGGGCUCGGGUACGGCGCAUCAAUGCCUGAUAUCGGAUUCAAAAGCGGGUUGCGGAUGGCAAGCAGAUGGAUAAGGGAAUAGUAAAAAAAAACCACUAUCCAAAAGAUCAAACAGCUAAGCUAUAUGGGCACUACUUAACUAUCAUUCAAAAUUCCUACCUACCUACUGCUCUUGCCUUCCUUUCCUUCUUUCUUGAAUACUACCCUACGUACUAUGCUAUGCUCCUUUCUUGCUUGCUUCCUAUACUUGACUUGCUUAGCAAGACACAGUCCUACGAUCAACUCGAACAAUCAAUUCAAUACUACUAGCUGAGGGACUGGCUUGCAGAGUUGUCUCUAUCCGGCUGGGACUGGACUCUUUCCCUUGCCUGUGGGACUGCUGCCUGCCCUGCUUCCCUCUUGCUUUGAAUGAACUGCUCUCUCCAUUCACUUCUUUGAUGAAGGAGUCAAUUUCUUCAUAAAGGGAGUCUACUUUUGACUGAUAGUCGACGUCAAGCCUAUACUGUUUGGAAGGAGGACUAUCUAAAUACCUGAACUGACUCCUCUCAUUGGUUUGGUUGGUUAUCCUCUGACUGGCUGGGAAUAGGAACUGCUCUAAUCCCUCACCUCUCACUAAUCUCUCACCUCACGGGAGGCUGGCAUGGCUUAGAGUUCCUUUUUUUUUUAUGCUACCUCUAUUCUGUCAUACGCGGCCCACGCCCUUUUCUAUCAUGCACUCACUGGUGGGUUCUUGGUUGGGUGGGUGCUCCAUAUAGUCUCUUUCCUUUUUCUUAGGCAACUUGAUAGAGCCCAUUGUGGGGAUGGGAGAGCCUAUUUGUACACGUCCGAUGCCGAACUUCGUCAGUUGGAAUCAUGAAAUACGCACAAUCAUAGUGAACCGGGCUUGGACCAUGUCUCCCGCAAGAAGGGAGGACUACCUUAAAAGCAU